UACGAAGGGGGCUAGCGUUGCUCGGAAUCACUGGGCGUAAAGGGUGCGUAGGCGGGUUUUAAGUCAGGGGUGAAAUCCUGGAGCUCAACUCCAGAACUGCCUUUGAUACUGAAGAUCUUGAGUCCGGGAGAGGUGAGUGGAACUGCGAGUGUAGAGGUGAAAUUCGUAGAUAUUCGCAAGAACACCAGUGGCGAAGGCGGCAUCCUGGACCACGACUGACGCUGAGGAGCGAAAGCCAGGGGAGCAAAGCGGGG
rnacentral:rRNA from 1 species